rnacentral:rRNA from 1 species
AGAGUUUGAUCAUGGCUCAGAUUGAACGCUGGCGGCAGGCCUAACACAUGCAAGUCGAACGGUAACAGGAAGCAGCUUGCUGCUUUGCUGACGAGUGGCGGACGGGUGAGUAAUGUCUGGGAAACUGCCUGAUGGAGGGGGAUAACUACUGGAAACGGUGGCUAAUACCGCAUAACGUCGCAAGACCAAAGAGGGGGACCUUCGGGCCUCUUGCCAUCAGAUGUGCCCAGAUGGGAUUAGCUUGUUGGUGAGGUAACGGCUCACCAAGGCGACGAUCCCUAGCUGGUCUGAGAGGAUGACCAGCCACACUGGAACUGAGACACGGUCCAGACUCCUACGGGAGGCAGCAGUGGGGAAUAUUGCACAAUGGGCGCAAGCCUGAUGCAGCCAUGCCGCGUGUAUGAAGAAGGCCUUCGGGUUGUAAAGUACUUUCAGCGGGGAGGAAGGUGUUGCGGUUAAUAACCGCAGCAAUUGACGUUACCCGCAGAAGAAGCACCGGCUAACUCCGUGCCAGCAGCCGCGGUAAUACGGAGGGUGCAAGCGUUAAUCGGAAUUACUGGGCGUAAAGCGCACGCAGGCGGUCUGUCAAGUCGGAUGUGAAAUCCCCGGGCUCAACCUGGGAACUGCAUUCGAAACUGGCAGGCUUGAGUCUUGUAGAGGGGGGUAGAAUUCCAGGUGUAGCGGUGAAAUGCGUAGAGAUCUGGAGGAAUACCGGUGGCGAAGGCGGCCCCCUGGACAAAGACUGACGCUCAGGUGCGAAAGCGUGGGGAGCAAACAGGAUUAGAUACCCUGGUAGUCCACGCCGUAAACGAUGUCUACUUGGAGGUUGUGCCCUUGAGGCGUGGCUUCCGGAGCUAACGCGUUAAGUAGACCGCCUGGGGAGUACGGCCGCAAGGUUAAAACUCAAAUGAAUUGACGGGGGCCCGCACAAGCGGUGGAGCAUGUGGUUUAAUUCGAUGCAACGCGAAGAACCUUACCUGGUCUUGACAUCCACAGAACUUUCCAGAGAUGGAUUGGUGCCUUCGGGAACUGUGAGACAGGUGCUGCAUGGCUGUCGUCAGCUCGUGUUGUGAAAUGUUGGGUUAAGUCCCGCAACGAGCGCAACCCUUAUCCUUUGUUGCCAGCGGUCCGGCCGGGAACUCAAAGGAGACUGCCAGUGAUAAACUGGAGGAAGGUGGGGAUGACGUCAAGUCAUCAUGGCCCUUACGACCAGGGCUACACACGUGCUACAAUGGCGCAUACAAAGAGAAGCGACCUCGCGAGAGCAAGCGGACCUCAUAAAGUGCGUCGUAGUCCGGAUUGGAGUCUGCAACUCGACUCCAUGAAGUCGGAAUCGCUAGUAAUCGUGGAUCAGAAUGCCACGGUGAAUACGUUCCCGGGCCUUGUACACACCGCCCGUCACACCAUGGGAGUGGGUUGCAAAAGAAGUAGGUAGCUUAACCUUCGGGAGGGCGCUUACCACUUUGUGAUUCAUGACUGGGGUGAAGUCGUAACAAGGUAACCGUAGGGGAACCUGCGGUUGGAUCACCUCCUU